rnacentral:rRNA from 1 species
GACGAACGCUGGCGGCGUGCUUAACACAUGCAAGUCGAACGGGAAGGCCCUGCUUUUGUGGGGUGCUCGAGUGGCGAACGGGUGAGUAACACGUGAGUAACCUGCCCUUGACUUUGGGAUAACUUCAGGAAACUGGGGCUAAUACCGGAUAGGAGCUCCUGCUGCAUGGUGGGGGUUGGAAAGUUUCGGCGGUUGGGGAUGGACUCGCGGCUUAUCAGCUUGUUGGUGGGGUAGUGGCUUACCAAGGCUUUGACGGGUAGCCGGCCUGAGAGGGUGACCGGCCACAUUGGGACUGAGAUACGGCCCAGACUCCUACGGGAGGCAGCAGUGGGGAAUAUUGCACAAUGGGCGGAAGCCUGAUGCAGCAACGCCGCGUGCGGGAUGACGGCCUUCGGGUUGUAAACCGCUUUCGCCUGUGACGACGCGUGAGUGACGGUACUGGCUAACGAAGCACAGGCUAACUACGUG